GGCUUCUGAAUACUUUUUUUCAGACUUUUCCCUUACAAAAAAUAUAAACCCCUACAAAAAUGUCCCUUCAUUAGAAUCCACAUAACAAUUAACAUUUCCUAUUGCUGCAGGAUUAUUUUCCUGCUUUAGGAAACUGGCUCAAAUUAAGAUCCUACACAUCUGUAUUCCUCAUCUAGGGCCAAAAGUAGUGGACUACAUAGGGAAUAGGGUAUUAUUUAAGACCUAGCCUUUGUAAGGUCUAUGACAGUGUAUCCAGUAACACUCUCCAUUCAUUGUAACAGUCCUGUGCUGUCCACAUUACUAUUUGACUACACAUGAGGUGUCUCAGUUCUGAGGGGAGAAUGGAUGAAACAUGAGGUGUCUCAGUUCUGAGGGGAGAAUGGCUGAAACAUGAGGUGUCUCAGUCCUGAGGGAAGAAUGGAUGAAACAUAGGUGUCUCAGUCCUGAGGGAAGAAUGGAUGAAACAUAGGUGUCUCAGUUCUGAGGGGAGAAUGGAUGAAACAUAGGUGUCUCAGUUCUGAGGGGAGAAUGAGGGGCCAGAGUUAGCCUAAAGAGUUUGGCCAACUUGGUUUAAGAUUUUCAAGCUUUUAACAGGCACCGUGUCAGACCCCAAAAACCUCCAAAACAAAAACUGUCCUCCUGAUAUUUCAACCUGUUAUUAUACUGCUCUGCUUUAAAUAGGAUACUAUUAAUGAUUGUACUGUUAUUACUACUACUGGUCAGUACCAUCACGGUAUACAGCGGACAGACAGACAGUCUGGAUUAUCAUCUGUAUUUUAAAAUCACAGAUUAUUUUUGACCUGGUUGGUUUCCACUCAUCUCCGAACCAAGAACCAAAUCUCGUGUGUGCUGGCCAGCUAGUCGGUUGGGGUAAAUGUCUGUCACGACUCACGAGACAUCCGGUUACUAAGUGACUAGGUAACAUCUAAGUGACAUAAAAUGGCUGACAUCACUGGAAUCUCAGAUGAAAAUCGCCAGCAGCAGCUUUUCCUAUGGAAUGAAUGAAUGAGCCAAAACUGCAACACAGUGUUUAGUUUACUAGCCACUGGUAUCAACACAGCUUUAUAUUCACGCAAACUAAAGGAAAGGUCUUCUAUGUGUUUCUGAUAAUUAAUGUAAUUGAAUGAAUAUGCUACAAUACCUCUGCUGGUGAUGAUGACGGUGUUGGUGGUACUGAUGGUGAAUGUUACCAAUAAUAAAGUCAACCUGCUUGAUAUACCAGGAUA